rnacentral:lncRNA from 10 species
GUGGGAAGAUGGCAUGUGAGCGUGCCCUGCUUGUGCAGUUGCCAGUCACAGAACCCAGGAGGUCUGGAAAGCAAACCUCUGUUUGGCCAAAGGAGAUAAAAGUCCCACGUGAAAGAUGCCCUCCCUGUACCAGGAGAAUAAAAAACAUUCUUUGACGGGGGUCAUACCCAGGAUAAUUCUGUACAAACAGACCUUGCUAAAAUAACCCUUAUCUUACUUUGCCUUCACACAUACUUUAAUGUAAUUACUUUUCUGCAGUUGUACUCUUUGCUCACCCUACUAUACAAGCAUUUAGGUUUCGGCACUUCUUUAGGUCUUGAAUUUUCUAUAGGGGCUCCUAUAUGUAAAAAUCUGUAUGUUUUUCUCUUGUUAAUCUGUCAUAGGUCAAGUUAAUUC